GACGAACGCUGGCGGCGUGCCUAAUACAUGCAAGUCGAGCGGACGAUUCGAAAGCUUGCUUUUGCAUCGUUAGCGGCGGACGGGUGAGUAACACGUGGGCAACCUGCCCUGUAGACGGGGAUAACACCGAGAAAUCGGUGCUAAUACCGGAUAACACGAAAUGUCGCAUGACGUUUCGUUGAAAGGCGGCGCAAGCUGCCGCUACAGGAUGGGCCCGCGGCGCAUUAGCUAGUUGGUGAGGUAACGGCUCACCAAGGCGACGAUGCGUAGCCGACCUGAGAGGGUGAUCGGCCACACUGGGACUGAGACACGGCCCAGACUCCUACGGGAGGCAGCAGUAGGGAAUCUUCCGCAAUGGACGAAAGUCUGACGGAGCAACGCCGCGUGAGCGAAGAAGGCCUUCGGGUCGUAAAGCUCUGUUGUUAGGGAAGAACAAGUAACGUAGUAACUGACGUUACUAUGACGGUACCUAACGAGAAAGCCACGGCUAACUACGUG
rnacentral:rRNA from 1 species